rnacentral:rRNA from 1 species
UACAGAGGGUGCAAGCGUUAAUCGGAAUUACUGGGCGUAAAGCGUGCGUAGACGGUUAUUUAAGUCAGGCGUGAAAGCCCCGGGCUCAACCUGGGAAUUGCAUUUGAGACUGAAUAGCUAGGGUGCGGAAGAGGGAAGCGGAAUUUCCGGUGUAGCGGUGAAAUGCGUAGAUAUCGGAAGGAACACCAGUGGCGAAAGCGGCUUCCUGGUCCAGCACCGACGUUCAGGCACGAAAGCGUGGGGAGCAAACAGG